CCUUUUCCUUUUUUUCUUUUUGUUUUUAUUUUGGUCUUGCUGUAGACUCGGUGCUGGCUGCUCCAGUUGCAUGCUUCUGAAUGGCUCUUCACCUCAUCAGUCGCCUGUGAACAAUUGAGAUAGAUGUCAGAAUCAGACAAAAGCCAAUCAGUAAACGUGGAAGAACGAGCGUCGUGCAGAAGUGGUGCUGGCAGCAACAGCGGGAAACAGCGGUGCUAGGACGAGGCAAAGACGGAGGAGUGCCAGGGACUGCUGAUAUCACCGCCUGCAGAUGUGCUAGACCACAGGAUAAGCUACCUAGAGUUGACCAAGGCCUUGCAGGUAAAUGGUGACCACUGUCCUUAGCUUGUCUGGAGCAAUGUGUAACAGCAAUUACCCUCCUGGAAGGUAACUGG
rnacentral:lncRNA from 1 species